UUUCUAUGUAAGAACGAGGACGACUGUUAUCUGGGAGAAAGUGGGUACAGGUGGUUUACUCUAAAGUCAAGUUUGUCACUGAUGGAGACAGUACAAGGGACACUGAGUGUCAGCUAGAGAUGAAAGAAAGAAAUGGAAGGCAUAUUGGGCCAUCACUGAAUCCUUUCUUUCCAACAACAUUGACAUGUACUGCUGGGCAUUUCAUAGAACCUGUGCUUGAGUAUACUUUGCAUUCUGCGUUCAGUUUGGGGAUGAUAUUCUCUGUUCAGAGCAGUUCAUGGACAGAAAAACUAAGUGGAAUAAAUAGGGGCAGUAUGAAAAUGUGUUAACAGGCAUCUCUUGAACACAAAUACAGUGUUUAAUGCUAAAAUAUCACCUAUUUAAAAUAAACCAGAAAUUAGCUCUGAAA